rnacentral:rRNA from 1 species
AUUGAACGCUGGCGGCAGGCCUAACACAUGCAAAUCGAGCGGAUGAAGGGAGCUUGCUCCUGGAUUCAGCGGCGGACGGGUGAGUAAUUCCUAGGAAUCUGCCUGGUAGUUGGGGAUAACGUCCGGAAACGGGCGCUAAUACCGCAUACGUCCUGAGGGAGAAAGUGGGGGAUCUUCGGACCUCACGCUAUCAGAUGAGCCUAGGUCGGAUUAGCUAGUUGGUGGGGUAAAGGCCUACCAAGGCGACGAUCCGUAACUGGUCUGAGAGGAUGAUCAGUCACACUGGAACUGAGACACGGUCCAGACUCCUACGGGAGGCAGCAGUGGGGAAUAUUGGACAAUGGGCGAAAGCCUGAUCCAGCCAUGCCGCGUGUGUGAAGAAGGUCUUCGGAUUGUAAAGCACUUUAAGUUGGGAGGAAGGGCAGUAAGUUAAUACCUUGCUGUUUUGACGUUACCAACAGAAUAAGCACCGGCUAACUUCGUG